rnacentral:rRNA from 1 species
AGAGUUUGAUCCUGGCUCAGGAUGAACGCUAGCGACAGGCUUAACACAUGCAAGUCGAGGGGCAGCGGGGCGGCAGGCUUGCCUGCCGUUGCCGGCGACCGGCGCACGGGUGAGUAACACGUAUGCAACCUGCCCGUGGCAGGGGGAUAAGCGGGGGAAACCCCGUCUAAUACCGCGUAACGCGGCCUAGGGACAUCCCAAGGCCGCCAAAGGGAGCAAUCCCGGCCACGGAUGGGCAUGCGGCGCAUUAGCUAGUCGGCGGGGUAACGGCCCACCGAGGCGACGAUGCGUAGGGGUUCUGAGAGGAAGGCCCCCCACACUGGUACUGAGACACGGACCAGACUCCUACGGGAGGCAGCAGUGAGGAAUAUUGGUCAAUGGGCGCGAGCCUGAACCAGCCAAGUCGCGUGAGGGAGGACGGCCCUACGGGUUGUAAACCUCUUUUGCCGGGGAGCAACGGGCGCCACGUGUGGCGCCACUGAGAGUACCCGGAGAAAAAGCAUCGGCUAACUCCGUG